CGUGUAGGCGGGAAUGCAAGUCAGAUGUGAAAUACCGAGGCUUAACUUCGGGGCUGCAUCUGAAACUGCGUUUCUUGAGUGUCGGAGAGGAAAGUGGAAUUCCCAGUGUAGCGGUGAAAUGCGUAGAUAUUGGGAGGAACACCAGUGGCGAAGGCGACUUUCUGGACGAUAACUGACGCUGAGGCGCGAAAGCGUGGGGAGCAAACAGGAUUAGAUACCCUGGUAGUCCACGCCGUAAACGAUGGAUACUAGGUGUGGGAGGUAUCGACCCCUUCGUGCCGCAGUUAACACAAUAAGUAUCCCACCUGGGGAGUACGGCCGCAAGGUUGAA
rnacentral:rRNA from 1 species